rnacentral:rRNA from 1 species
AUACGGAGGAUCCGAGCGUUCUCCGGAUUUAUUGGGUUUAAAGGGAGCGUAGGUGGAUUGUUAAGUCAGUUGUGAAAGUUUGCGGCUCAACCGUAAAAUUGCAGUUGAAACUGGCAGUCUUGAGUACAGUAGAGGUGGGCGGAAUUCGGGGUGUAGCGGUGAAAUGCUUAGAUAUCACGAAGAACUCCGAUUGCGAAGGCAGCUCACUAGACUGUUACUGACACUGAUGCUCGAAAGUGUGGGUAUCAAACAGGAUUAGAUACCCUGGUAGUCCACACAGUAAACGAUGAAUACUCGCUGUUUGCGAUAUACAGUAAGCGGCCAAGCGAAAGCAUUAAGUAUUCCACCUGGGGAGUACGCCGGCAACGGUGAAACUCAAAGGAAUUGACGGGG